CUAAACCCCGCCGACGAAAGGGUAAGGAAGGCCACGGUACCGUUUAAAGGAGUGAGUUGGUAACUGGGGUG
rnacentral:rRNA from 1 species